AUUGAACGCUGGCGGCAGGCUUAACACAUGCAAGUCGAGCGGAGUGAUGGUGCUUGCACUAUCACUUAGCGGCGGACGGGUGAGUAAUGCUUAGGAAUCUGCCUAUUAGUGGGGGACAACAUCUCGAAAGGGAUGCUAAUACCGCAUACGUCCUACGGGAGAAAGCAGGGGGUCACUUGUGACCUUGCGCUAAUAGAUGAGCCUAAGUCGGAUUAGCUAGUUGGUGGGGUAAAGGCCUACCAAGGCGAUGAUCUGUAGCGGGUCUGAGAGGAUGAUCCGCCACACUGGGACUGAGACACGGCCCAGACUCCUACGGGAGGCAGCAGUGGGGGAUAUUGGACAAUGGGGGGAACCCUGCUCCCGCCAUGCCGCGUGUGUGAAGAAGGCCUUAUGGUUGUAAAGCCCUUUCCGCGAGGAGGAGGCUCUUUUCCUUCCUACCCAAGAUGAGUGGACGUUACUCGCAGAAUAAGCACCGGCUAACUCUGUGCCAGCCGCCGCGGUAACAC
rnacentral:rRNA from 1 species